CUUACUCCAACCUUUGACUGGUCCAACACCUUUUGUUUUCACUCUUGGUGCAGGGGUCUUGCUUGCAGUGGCCACAGCCUUCCCUGUACAGCUUCUCAACCUUUUUGUUAUACCACCAGUUGGUUUUACAGCAGUCUUGGUGGUGACAUAAUCAUCAACAUCUACUACAUCCUUUUCUUUCUCAGCUUCUGCAGGCUUGUCAGCUUCAAC
rnacentral:lncRNA from 1 species